UCUCCAUGGCCUCUAUGU
rnacentral:misc_RNA from 1 species